rnacentral:lncRNA from 1 species
GGGGAUGAGGGCAUGACAGCUACUCUUGUUUUCUCUCUCUUUGCUUGGAUUGUUGUUGUUCAUUAUUGUUGUUGAUUUUUUCUGCUUCGUAUUCUUCAUUAUCUUUUUCUUAUUAUUCAUUAUCAUCUCUUCUUGUUCAUCAUCAUCUUCUUAUUAUUCAUUGGUCGUACCAUUGUUAUUGUUGCCGCUACUACUGCUACUGGAC